rnacentral:misc_RNA from 1 species
GAUGAAGAACGCAGCGAAAUGCGAUAAGUAAUGUGAAUUGCAGAAUUCAGUGAAUCAUCGAAUCUUUGAACGCACAUUGCGCCCGCCAGUAUUCUGGCGGGCAUGCCUGUUCGAGCGUCAUUUCAACCCUCAAGACCCCUUCGGGGGACUUGGUGUUGGGGACCGGCACAGGGGCCUGCCUGCUUGUCUUGCAGCGCCCUCGCCGCCCCCGAAAUGAAUUGGCGGCCUCGUCGCGGCCUCCCCUGCGUAGUAGCACAAACCUCGCAACGGGAACGUGACGGCGGCCACUGCCGUAAAACAACCCAAUUUUAUUAGAGUUGACCUCGAAUCAGGUAGGAAUACCCGCGGAACUUAAGCAUAUCAAUAAGCGGAGGA